AGCGAACGCUGGCGGCAGGCCUAACACAUGCAAGUCGAACGAUGAAGCCCAGCUUGCUGGGUGGAUUAGUGGCGAACGGGUGAGUAACACGUGAGUAACCUGCCCUUAACUCUGGGAUAAGCCUGGGAAACUGGGUCUAAUACCGGAUAGGAGCGUCCACCGCAUGGUGGGUGUUGGAAAGAUUUAUCGGUUUUGGAUGGACUCGCGGCCUAUCAGCUUGUUGGUGAGGUAAUGGCUCACCAAGGCGACGACGGGUAGCCGGCCUGAGAGGGUGACCGGCCACACUGGGACUGAGACACGGCCCAGACUCCUACGGGAGGCAGCAGUGGGGAAUAUUGCACAAUGGGCGCAAGCCUGAUGCAGCGACGCCGCGUGAGGGAUGACGGCCUUCGGGUUGUAAACCUCUUUCAGUAGGGAAGAAGCGAAAGUGACGGUACCUGCAGAAGAAGCACCGGCUAACUACGUG
rnacentral:rRNA from 1 species